AACAGGUGAAUCAUCGAAUCUUUGAACGCACAUUGCGCCCACUGGUAUUCCGGUGGGCAUGCCUGUUCGAGCGUCAUUAUCCCCCCUCAAGCCCCGGGCUUGGUGUUAGACCCAAGUUGUGUGAACAACUGGUCUCAAAGACAAUGACGGCGUCCGUGGGACCCUCGGUGCAACGAGCUUUUAGGAGCACGCGCCGAGUUUCAAGGACCCUCCGGGCCGGUCUCCUUUUUAUCAUCUCCAAGGUUGACCUCGGAUCAGGUAGGAAUACCCGCUGAACUUAAGCAUAUCAAUAAGCGGAGG
rnacentral:misc_RNA from 1 species